AAUAUUCGAACUACAAAUGGCAAUACACAGUAUGCCAUGGCUGCCUAAUCAGUGAUUAGUUAGUCAUUAGGGCCGCCGCGCAGGUUGAUCCUUGACCAAGCGCCGCCGCCGACUUAAAAAAAAUAAGGAUUGCGGCAAUCGAAGGCUGUGACGAUUGCCUAAGUACCAUCCAGCUACGGAAAUGAUUGGUUUGUUCUGCCCCUGCCAUUUCCCGACAAGCAAUGCAGAAAUAAGCAUGUAGAAAGCUUUUGGAUAUCAUGUUUGGACACCGGUUCGACUCCGGUCACCUCCACCU
rnacentral:tmRNA from 1 species